ACAGAGACCUCAAGCGUUAUCCGGAAUCAUUGGGCGUAAAGCAUACCGACAGGUGGUUUAUUAAGUCUUGGGUAAAAGCCGGAAGCUUAACUUCCGCGUUUGCUUAAGAUACUAAUAGACUAGAGGGGCAAAGAGGUGCUUGGAACCAACGGUGUAGUAGUGAAAUGCGUUGAUAUCGUUGGGAACACCGAAAGCGAAGGCAGAGCACUGGGUGCCACCUGACACUGCUAGGACGAAAGCGUGGGGAGCGAAUGGGA
rnacentral:rRNA from 1 species